GCUGGGUGUGAUGGUGCACACCUGUAAUUCCAGAGGCUGGGGGGGCUGAGGCAGGAGGAUUACAAGUUCAAAGCCAGCCUCAGCAACUUAGCGAGGCCCUACGUAACUCAGUGAGACCCUGUCUCUA
rnacentral:sRNA from 1 species